rnacentral:rRNA from 1 species
UAGUCCACACCGUAAACGCUGUCUACUAGCUGUUUGUGAGUUUAACUCGUGAGUAGCGAAGCUAACGCGCUAAGUAGACCGCCUGGGGAGUACGGUCGCAAGAUUAAAACUCAAAUGAAUUGACGGGGGCCCGCACAAGCGGUGGAGCAUGUGGUUUAAUUCGAUGCAACGCGAAGAACCUUACCUACACUUGACAUUCAGAGAACUUACUAGAGAUAGUUUGGUGCCUUUCGGGAGCUCUGGGACAGGUGCUGCAUGGCUGUCGUCAGCUCGUGUCGUGAGAUGUUGGGUUAAGUCCGGCAACGAGCGCAACCCACAUCCCUAGUUGCCAGCAGGUUAUGCUGGGCACUCUAUGGAAACUGCCCGUGAUAAGCGGGGAGGAAGGUGUGGGAUGACGUCAAGUCUUCAUGGGCCCUUACGGGGUUGGGGCUACACACGUGCUACAAUGGCAUCUACAGUGGGGUUAAUCCCCAAAAGNUAGUCUCAGUUCGGGAUUGGGGGUCUGGCAAC